rnacentral:rRNA from 1 species
GGACGAACGCUGGCGGCGUGCUUAACACAUGCAAGUCGAACGGUGAAGGAGAGGCUUGCUCUCCGGAUCAGUGGCGAACGGGUGAGUAACACGUGAGUAACCUGCCCUUGACUCCGGGAUAAGCGUUGGAAACGACGUCUAAUACUGGAUACGACCUCGAACGGCAUCGUUCGAGGUGGAAAGACUUCGGUCAAGGAUGGGACUCGCGGCCUAUCAGCUA